GUCUACUGCAAAUACUCAGCCAGACUUUCGUGCUUGUGGUAACACUCUCUCAACCAACUUAUUAUUAUUCUUCUAACGGAAACAAUUCAUUGGUGCGAGGUGACUGAUUACUUUGCGAAAACGAAGUCAUAAUAUGAAAGAGGACUCUAAUUCACGUGGAUAUUUGUAAACUGUAAGUGUGUAAAAUUAUGAUACAAUUUAAACUGAAACCAAUUACAGUGAUCAGGGUAAGUUUGGGAUUUAUCUUUAUUUGUGGCCUGAUUUUCCUUCUUCGAAAUCUUUGCAAACUCGUGGAAAUAUUUGUCCGGUAAUGUUUAUGUGUACAGAUCAAAACAGAGGGAAAAUUCGCGGAGAUGUUUGUAAAUUUGGUAAAUUUAUUUUUUCAAUUGUUCCGAAAUUAAGAGACGCCCCUGAUCUGGGGAAUAUGUUUCGGAUAAAUUUUGUAACCUGCUGACUUUCCUGCGUAAUCUUUGUAUGAAUUUUCAUGGGAUGGCGUGACUCGAAAUGACGUGAUGUCUAUCUUGGGUCGUGGAUGGAGCAAAACUGAGGAUAAAACCUGCUGGUGAAGAAUAUUAUUGCUGUGCUUUCACUUUGCCUGCUUUCUCCAGCGUGGAAGAAAUGUGGGGCUGGAGAGUUUGAGCUGGUAUCGAUCCUCACGUUUCCGACCACGACGUUCAACUUCUAUACGGUCUCCUCUGGAGAGAGAGAGCGAGAGAGGGAUAGUGGCGGAUAAGAGGAGAGAAAGUGGGAGAGAAAGUGUAGUCACGAACGUUAUAAGGAAAGUGAGAUCAAUACGAGAAAAUGAGGAAAAUGUCUCAAUUUGCCUCACUCCUGGAACUGCAGUAGGGCAAUAAUUCUAUCAUAAAUCGUGAAGAAGUUGGGUAGAAUGUUAAAUUGUGAUAUCAAUUUUUUUGAAAUAAGAUGCGUUCGAGAUGUUCUAGUUUUUUGAUAAAUUUGAGAAUAAUUUGUAAACUUCUACAUAUUUAUGUAGAAACGUUAAUUGUAUUAAAGUUGACCGGGUUUAUUACGGGAUUACAAACUUAAAGAUUGUUAUCAAUACUGUACGAGAAGCAUUUGUGGGGACAGAAUUCUCUCCCCAGAUUAUUUACAUAGGUAAAUUCAGUGGAUUUUAAAUGAGUGAAUGAACGCAUUUUAUUAUAGUCCUUGCAACAUAAAUCCAUAAAUUUUGUCAAAUUAGUAACGAUUUUCGUAAACUUAUAAGUAGAUUUAUAAGUACAUUUUCAUCAGAAAUUUUGUAAUAAAUUUUCUUACAAUUGUUUAAAACUUUCAGAACACAUAUUGUACAAAUGUAAGAUCUACAUAUAAUUGUAUACGAGUGAAUCUUCAUCAAACAACGUAUUUCAUGUGGUAAAGUUGCACAGAAAAUUUAAUCUCUCUGGGUGUUAAACUUAAGUCGAAAAUACAGAAUAAUUCUGGGAGUUAUGGUCGAUGCAUUAUAAUUAAAGCCAUUUUUACAUAAGGAAUGCAUGUAAAAGUAGCUUUAAUUUUAAUGCCUUUUUCAUAACCUUUAUUGAAGUGAUAGCCGAAAUGAUUUGUCCGAGCAAAAAAUAAUGAUUUUAUCUCAACUUGGUGAAAUGAAAUGCAUAUUUGUAAACCAAAAUUUGGUAGCAAUCCGCGUAUGCGUACAUUGAUCAGAAAUAGUAAAGAAUGUGUCUCAAAAAUUAACUUGAUAUCGACAGGUGACGAAUUAAAUUCUAUAGGCGGUCUCAAAUUACAUUUUUUUGGUCAACUCACGCUAAUAGUAAGCGUGAUAAGUACUCGUUUGUAGUGUGAUAAAGGUUUGUGCUAUAUUUUACAAAAAGUAUGGGCAAUAGGUCAAAAUUUCUUGUCAAUAAUGGCAAAAACUACGUCCGAGUGCUGAACCAUUGUCAUCUUCCCUACUUAAAAAAAAUAUCCAAUUUCUUAGUGCUAAAAUGGACACAAUUUUGUCGCGCAUUAUUUCGCGUGUUUGCUGAUGAAGCUCUUACUCCUGGUGGCGACCUAGAAAUGAGUAGUUUCAGUUCAGUUGUCGCCCUUCUUUGUCUCAGGAUUCGUCCCUGUCUCUCCUUUCGCCGCUUUCAUUCAGCCCAACCCGACGGGGAAAUACCUCUCCAGAACUCAUCGCAUCAUCUACUCGACGAGCACUGCGGCUUAUCCUACACGUUCCAGAAAGAAGAAUAUAGGACAACCUUCUGGUCACGAUAGAAGACACCAUGCAUAAAUUGUGCCGUCCUUUUUGGCCUGAUUUUUGCAAGGGUCAUUGCGAAUCACCUGGAUUAAGAAAAAUCAAAAUUUGUUUCGAACUUGAAAUUGUAUUUUACCAAAGUUUACUUGGAUUUUUCUGCAAUACUUUGCACUUGAAACCUCAUAGAUUUCCAGGGUCAGGUAGGCACGACAUCCAGAUUGAUUAAGUUGACAUUAAAGUGUGUCCAAAUGUGGCACAUUUUUUCUGCAUGGUCCGAAUAAAUUUUUGGCCCGGGCUGCUUUCUCUUUUUUGCUUUCACCUAAAUCAACUUGGGGAAGGUGAACGUCCUCCACGUGCGGGUUCCUCUUCUGAUCUCGUCUCUCGUUACACAAUUCUACACACCAAAGUCGGAUCCACGUCGGCUUCACAUCAAUCCGAGAUUUGUGAAAUGUAUGUAUUUACUAUUUACAAGUGACGUCAAAUAGAUAAGUCCGAAUUUCAUAUAAAUUUCCUCUCGUUAUUUGCUAACAACUCAAAACAUAUUGAAAGGUUGUAACUAUAAUAGAAAGAGCGUAAAUGUAGCUAAUUAACUUCUGCUUUAAAAUGAGCCAAGUAUUUCUAAAAAUCAAACCUUGUCUUCAUUUUAUAAUUACAUCUUCCGCCUCAUUUUGCAAAAUCUGUACAUCCAAAAUAUAUGAAAAUUAUGAAUCCGACUUUAAAGUAUAUCUGAAAUUGGUUAAAAUUCAUUUUCCCGAGUUUUAGCCACAAUUAAAAUGAAAUAGGAAAUUCGUGCACUUACAUAAUUCUAAAAAUAUUCCGUAUUUUAUUCUAUAUUUUAAUUAUUAACUAACAAUAAUUUAACUUGAAUAUAUAGUUCAGUCUAGUUUAAGAGUAUGUAAAAUAAAAGAAGUACGUAUGUUAAGAUAUUGACAUUAGUCAACUCGACUUCCAUUGGAUUCCUCGAUUGUAUGUUUUUUUGCUAAGAUCGUGAAUAAUUUAUUGU